GAAGAGGCUAGGUGCAAAAUCUCUCAAAGAUCUUUUCCGAUGUAGAUUUGAUGUAAUAGAAUAUCGUCCGGGCAAAACUGCAAUUAUUAAUUUCUCCAAUUUGAUCAAUUUACAAAUCCGUCAAGUCACCAUCAAAUCCGAGUCCCCGAUUGGACAAAGUUUGACCUGUUUUAGCUUUCAAUGCACGAUCAGUGGUCGCGUGUUUUGUAUGUAAAGCCUGAUAUUGGUAGUUUUUAUUAACAGUGGUCUCUUGAACACGUGUGGACAUGAGGUGACGUGAACGUAGCUUCACAGACACACUGACCUGAUUAUCUCAUGUUUAAAGUUAAGCAAUCUGUCAGUUUUCUCCAUAAUUUCUUGUAAACAAACACUUUAAAGUUGAACAUCCACAAAGUGAUCCUUAAGUUAAUUUUUAAAAACAAAAAUAAAUUGUUCAUAAAAGCUGGUUAAUUUAUUUGAUUAAGUGAAUUUCAGAAUAAUUUUCCAAAUUUUCCUUUUGUCAUUUUUUUCAAUAAUUAUAAUAAUUAUUUUUUAAUAAAUCUAGUGCAUAAUGUUCUAAUCAGACUCAAUAAGCAGAUCAUUUCUCGAUGGGAAGAAUCACGGUUCCCGUCAUGAUUGGUUUUGCCGUGUCCUUCAUUGCCUCUCCAUUUUACCAUCUUUUAUUUUUUUUGUCCACAGUGGCGCUGCGACCCCAAAAUUCAAGAACUUGACCAUGGAGGAAAUGGCGAAGGAAAUGUCUGAACUUCUGUCUCGAGGUCCACAGGUCCAGGCCACCAAGGCGGCUGCUGGCACCAAGAAGUACGAGCUGAGCAAGUGGAAGUACGCUGAGUUGCGGGAUGCCAUCAACACCUCAUGUGGUGAGUGUUCAGUAGAUGUUUAAUUUGUCACUGCGCCACAUGAAUCAGCGACCAGCCGACCCUCCGCUGUAAAUCUCAAAGGGUUCUCUGGAAUUUAUCCCGAAGCAUCCUUCCAACUGAAAUACAGCUUCAAACAGGAACGUAGGUGACAGAAACCAGCUUCAGAAGGUUGCUUGAUGUAAAAUUGGUCCAAAAAA